rnacentral:lncRNA from 1 species
AUGGAAGCUGGUAAUCCAAAUCUUCAGAUAAUACCAUUUAGUAGUAUAGUAGAAAUGGUGCAAGCUGUUUUAUUAGUAGUAGGGAAGGCUUCCACCCACACUGAGGAGGUGUCUGCUGUAACCAGAAGUGAACGUGUUUGCCAUAGCCCCAGGUCCCUGGGUUGGUGCUGUUUCUGGAUAUCUUUGCUGGACUCCAACACCAGAAUUGACGACAAGCCAGAAACGCUGAAGGUAAGAAAUGCAUAAUAGAAGAUACAACAGACAAAAACUUCUGAGAACAAAGCUAUAUGAUUGUUCUGAAGAAUGGAGACCAUAUUAUCAUAGUACGUUUUCUAUUGUUAAGAGAUACCUGAAUCUUGGUAAUUUAUUAAAGAGAAGAGAUUUACUUUGGUUCAUGGUGUUGGAGGCCAGGAAGCACAAGAGCAUUGUGCUGGCAUCUUCUCUGCUUCUGGUGAGGGAAUCAUGCUGCUUCAACUCAUGACAGGAAGUAGAAGGGAAUGUGGGCUGCACCUUAUAACAGCCUUGUCCUGCAGUCACUGAUUCUGCAGUCCAGUCCCAUCAGAGUGAGCCUUCACUCACACUCCAGUCCGGAGGAUAGAGCCCUCAUGGACCAGACCUCUCCUUUUAGGCACCUCCUCCCAAAACCACCACAACUAUGAUCAAAUUUCAUCACGAGUCUUAGAUGGGGACAAGCCUUACUAAAACCAUAGCACUAUAGGACAAUGAAAUAAAUUUGAGAGAAAGAAGCUAAUAUAAUGAAAU